rnacentral:rRNA from 1 species
CGCGUAGGCGGAUUAUCAAGUCUCUUGUGAAAUCCAACGGCUUAACCGUUGAACUGCUUGGGAAACUGGUAAUCUAGAGUGGGGGAGAGGCAGAUGGAAUUGGUGGUGUAGGGGUAAAAUCCGUAGAUAUCACCAAGAAUACCCAUUGCGAAGGCGAUCUGCUGGAACUUAACUGACGCUAAGGCGCGAAAGCGUGGGGAGCAAACAGGAUUAGAUACCCUGGUAGUCCACGCCCUAAACGAUGUAUGCUAGUUGUUGGGGUGCUAGUCAUCUCAGUAAUGCAGCUAACGCAUUAAGCAUACCGCCUGGGGAGUACGGUCGCAAGAUUAAAACUCAAAGGAAUAGACGGGGACCCGCACAAGCGGUGGAGCAUGUGGUUUAAUUCGAAGAUACGCGAAGAACCUUACCUGGGCUUGAUAUCCUAAGAACCUUAUAGAGAUAUGAGGGUGCUAGCUUGCUAGAACUUAGAGACAGGUGCUGCACGGCUGUCGUCAGCUCGUGUCGUGAGAUGUUGGGUUAAGUCCCGCAACGAGCGCAACCCACGUAUUUAGUUGCUAACACUUCGGGUGAGCACUCUAAAUAGACUGCCUUCGUAAGGAGGAGGAAGGUGUGGACGACGUCAAGUCAUCAUGGCCCUUAUGCCCAGGGCGACACACGUGCUACAAUGGCAUAUACAAUGAGACGCAAUACCGCGAGGUGGAGCAAAUCUAUAAAAUAUGUCCCAGUUCGGAUUGUUCUCUGCAACUCGAGAGCAUGAAGCCGGAAUCGCUAGUAAUCGUAGAUCAGCCAUGCUACGGUGAAUACGUUCCC